rnacentral:rRNA from 1 species
GAGUCGUUGUAGCAAUACAAGGCAUACGGCUCAGUAACACGUAGUCAAUCUAACCUAUGGACGGGGGUAACCUCGGGAAACUGAGGAUAAACCCCGAUAGAUCAUUAUGCCUGGAACGGUUUAUGGUCUAAAUGAUUCGUCGCCGUAGGGUGGGACUGCGGCCUAUCAGCUUGUUGGUGAGGUAAUGGCCCACCAAGGCUAUUACAGGUACGGGCUCUGAGAGGAGAAGCCCGGAGAUGGGUACUGAGACACGGACCCAGGCCCUAUGGGGCGCAGCAGGCGAGAAACCUUUGCAAUGUGCGCAAGCACGACAAGGUUAAUCCGAGUGCUUCCUGCUAAAGGAAUCUUUUGUUAGUUGUAAAACCACUGAUGAAUAAGGGGUGGGCAAGUUCUGGUGUCAGCCGCCGCGGUAAAACCAGCACCUCAAGUGGUCAGGAUGAUUAUUGGGCCUAAAGCAUCCGUAGCCUGUUCUAUAAGUUUCCGGUUAAAUCCAUUAGCUCAACUAAUGGGCUGCCGAAAAUACUGUAGAACUAGGGAGUGGGAGAGGUAGACGGUACUCGGUAGGAAGGGGUAAAAUCCUUUGAUCUAUUGAUGACCACCUGUGGCGAAGGCGGUCUACCAGAACACGUUCGACGGUGAGGGAUGAAAGCUGGGGGAGCAAACCGGAUUAGAUACCCGGGUAGUCCCAGCUGUAAACGAUGCAGACUCGGUGAUGCCCUGGCUUGUGGCCAGUGCAGUGCCGCAGGGAAGCCGUUAAGUUUGCCGCCUGGGAAGUACGUACGCAAGUAUGAAACUUAAAGGAAUUGGCGGGGGAGCACCACAAGGGG